CCCCUCCGGUAGGGUGAACCUGCGGAAGGAUC
rnacentral:rRNA from 1 species